UGUUAACAUGUCAACGGAGUUCAGAUCAUCAAAAUAAGCAGAUAUAUAUUCUGCAAGGCAUUCAAUAGUCACUAAUCAUCGGAAGCUCGUGGUUUCCUUUUCUUUCUCUUGACCUUCUCCGAAAAACGUCUUUUUGGGUCUAAAAGUAUUUCAAGUUGCAUCUUUGCCCAAAGAUCUUCAAAAUGCUCAUGAAAUCCUUCCUGAAACCAAUCCAAAAUUUCUGGAAACAAUUCUUGAGGAUUAUCAUCCCACAACUUCCUUAGCUUGAUA
rnacentral:misc_RNA from 1 species